rnacentral:rRNA from 1 species
CUACCAUGCAGUCGAGCGCCCCGCACGGGGAGCGGCAGACGGGAGAGUACACGUGGGAACGUACCCUUUGGUUCGGAACAACCCAGGGAAACUUGGGCUAAUACCGGAUAAGCCCUUACGGGGAAAGAUUCAUCGCCGAAGGAUCGGCCCGCGUCUGAUUAGCUAGUUGGUGGGGUAACGGCCCACCAAGGCGACGAUCAGUAGCUGGUCUGAGAGGAUGAUCAGCCUCACUGGGACUGAGACACGGCCCAGACUCCUACGGGAGGCAGCAGUGGG